rnacentral:rRNA from 1 species
UUGCAAAGAACUUUGAAGAGAGAGUUCAAGAGGGCGUGAAACCGUUUAGAAGGAAACGGAUAGAGCCAAUGACGGCUUAGUGGGAUUCAGUUUGCUGAUAAGGACUCGGGUGCGCAUGUGGACAGUUCGUCACAGUGUAUCUGAGCUCCAUGUCGGUGAAUGCAUUUCCUCUGACGCGCGUUAAGGGCUGUGGAGGCGCGAAAGGAAACCUAAGUUGCCGGCCCUGCUUGCAGGGUGUCCCACCUGGGUGUAUGUUCGUUGCAACCACAGUCAAAAAGACGUCCGCUCUGCUCAGUAACCUAGCUACUUAGUCGAAUGAAUCUGGGCAGCUUGCUUGCACGCUGUCCCAACCCUCGAUCGAGUUAUGUGUGGUGAUCUGAGUGAUGUCGACCUUGGCGUAAAAGUUGGCAACCUAUCCGACCCGUCUUGAAACACGGACCAAGGAGUCUAACAUGUGUGCGAGUCACUGGGUGGCAAACCCAGAGGCGAAAUGAAAGUGAAGAUCAGCUUGACUGAUUGAUACGGGAUCUCUCCCUGUGAGAGUGCACUGUAGCCCCGUCUGGACUGCUUGUCAGUAGGGCGGAGGAAGAGCAUACACGUUGGGACCCGAAAGAUGGUGAACUAUGCCUGAGCAGGACGAAGCCAGAG